ACAAUGGAGAGUUUGAUCCUGGCUCAGGAUGAACGCUAGCGGCAGGCCUAAUACAUGCAAGUCGAACGAGAUU
rnacentral:ncRNA from 1 species